GGCCGCUGGAGGCAACGGAAGUGACAUCAGCGCCCACCCGUGUGACGGGAUACGUCUCCCGGGGGAUGGGAAACGUUGUCCUGGAGACGAGAGGGAACUGUCAAUCAAAGGCGUGUUUGUGUGUUUAUGGACGAUAUUGCAAUCGCAAAAUGGACAAUACUACUGAACGUGAACUGAAACAUUCAACAUAAGGAAUACACCAUCCACAGUUCUUUCCGUUGACUGAGGGGAGUGGAGAGGUUGAGGCGAUUGAAGUCUCGAUGGCAGUUGCAGAUCCAUGGUUAACAGCUGCUGACUUUGAGCAAAACAGAUGCAUGAUGUUUACAGAUAUGAAAACAAAGACUCCUCAAGUACAUGCAAUCCUGUGUGAAACGUUUCCGCAUAUUUUCAGCUGCUAACACAAAAGCGAGUAACAGUAAACAAUCUUGCGAAAAACAAAGUAUUACAACAGAACGAACACUGAAAUGAAAGCAGAAAAUGCUAGAGAAAAUAAGGAGCAUCCGCCUUAAUUCAUGGAGAAAGGAAGAGAGUCCGAUCUUACUGCUGUUCAGAGAUAGAAGCAACUGCAGAUGCUGGAAAAUGUGAGAUAACAAGGUGGAGAGCUGCCUGAAGCCAGCCGGCCGAGCAGCAUCAGAGGAGGAGGAAAGCUGACGUUUCGGGCCUUGACUUUACUUCAGAAAUUGCUGAAUUGUCUACGGAAAAUUCUACACCUUGUUCUGUCCGAUCUUACAGUUGUUCAGUUUCUCCAGCAUUUUGUGAUUUUAAUUCAGAGAACAUCUGUUUGCAUUUUGAAAUUUCGAUGGUGGCUAUAAAGUGAAUAGAGUGGGCCCGAUGUUGUGCGAGACCCUGUUUCUUCACUCCGUCGCUAAAAUUGUUUUCGACGACUUCAGUACCUUAAUGGGAUUGAUAUAAUAAAA